UACGUAGGGGGCAAGCGUUGUCCGGAAUCAUUGGGCGUAAAGAGCGUGUAGGCGGCCAGAUAAGUCCGCUGUGAAAUCUCGAGGCUCAACUUCGAGCUGUCGGUGGAAACUGUCUGGCUAGAGUCCGGAAGAGGAGAAUGGAAUUCCUGGUGUAGCGGUGAAAUGCGCGAUAUCAGGAAGAACACCCGUGGCGAAGGCGGUUCUCUGGGACGGUACUGACGCUGAGACGCGAAAGCGUGGGGAGCGAACAGG
rnacentral:rRNA from 1 species